rnacentral:rRNA from 1 species
GACGAACGCUGGCGGCGCGCUUAACACAUGCAAGUCGAGCGAAGCGGCGGACGGGUGAGUAACACGUGAGUAACCUGCCUUAGACAUUGGGAUAGCCUCGGGAAACCGGGAUUAAUACCAAAUGGUCUAAGAUGGACUCGCGUCCCAUUAGCUAGUUGGUGGGUAACGGCCCACCAAGGCGACGAUGGGUAGCCGGCGUGAGAGGGUGAGCGGCCACAUUGGAACUGAGAAACGGUACAAACUCGACGGGAUGCAGCAAUGGGGAAUAUUGCACAAUGGAGGGAACUCUGAUGCAGCGAGGCCGCGUGAACGAGGAAGGCUUUCGAGUCGUAAAGUUCUUUUAUAUGAGAAGCGGUACCAUAAGAAAAAGCCACGGCUAACUACGUGCCAGCAGCCGCGGUAAUUC